rnacentral:rRNA from 1 species
GUGGGGAAUAUUGGGCAAUGGGCGCAAGCCUGACCCAGCAACGCCGCGUGAGGGAAGAAGGUUUUCGGAUUGUAAACCUCUGUCGCAAGGGACGAAGAAGUGACGGUACCUUGUGAGGAAGCCCCGGCUAACUACGUGCCAGCAGCCGCGGUAAUACGUAGGGGGCGAGCGUUGUCCGGAAUUACUGGGCGUAAAGGGUGCGUAGGCGGCUAAUUAAGUUGGAUGUGAAAUACCCGGGCUUAACUUGGGGGGUGCAUUCAAAACUGGUUAGCUAGAGUUCAGGAGAGGGAAGCGGAAUUCCUAGUGUAGCGGUGAAAUGCGUAGAUAUUAGGAGGAACACCAGUGGCGAAGGCGGCUUUCUGGACUGACACUGACGCUGAUGCACGAAAGCGUGGGGAGCAAACAGGAUUAGAUACCCCAGUAGUCC